rnacentral:rRNA from 1 species
AUGCCCACCGGCGCGUGGUGCGUGCACGCUUCACCCUGCAGAACGGCACGGCGGCGCAAGUCUCCAGCCGGCGCAUGGUCGCGUGGCCUCGACCUCCCGCAUCAGCCCGAGGCGUUCACGGCCCAGGCGCGGCGAAUCUCUCGAUCUGGGAAGAAACCAGAUGCAAAUGAGAUGAAAGCACAAAAUCCAGAGAGAAAGGUAAGAACGGGGAGGGGAUCAGAAGGAAACAUACAAGAUCCCUGUAACACAUCUCAUACAAAACGACAAUCAUCCAAAGACCAACUCUGUAUCUUGAUUGAUACAUCAAGCAGGUGA